rnacentral:snRNA from 1 species
ACUGCUUCUUGGCCUUUUGGCUAAGAUCAAGUGUAGUAUCAUUCUUAUCAGUUUACUAUCUGAUACGUCGUGUAUUCGAGGACAAUAUAUUAAAUGGAUAUUUGGAAAUAGGAUGUGGAAUAGGAGCUUGCUCUGUCCACUCCACACAUCGACCUGGUAUUGCAGUACUUCCAGGAACAGUGCACCAAAA